CAGGCCUAACACAUGCAAGUCGAACGAGAAAGGGGAGCAAUCCCUGAGUACAGUGGCGUACGGGUGAGUAACACGUGGAUGAUCUACCUUUUGGUGGGGAAUACCUCUGGGAAACCGGAGACAAUACCGCACAAGCUCGGAAGAGGAAACCCGCAAGGGGCCGAAAGAGGAGUCCGCGGCCGAUUAGCUAGUUGGUGGGGUAAAGGCUCACCAAGGCAAAGAUCGGUAGCCGGCCUGAGAGGGCACACGGCCACACUGGCACUGAAACACGGGCCAGACUCCUACGGGAGGCAGCAGUGGGGAAUCUUGCACAAUGGGGGCAACCCUGAUGCAGCGACGCCGCGUGAGCGAUGAAGCCCUUCGGGGUGUAAAGCUCUUUCGACGGGAACGAUAAUGACGGUACCCGGAGAAGAAGCUGCGGCUAACUACGUGCCAGCAGCCGCGGUAAUACGUAGGCAGCAAGCGUUGUUCGGAGUUACUGGGCGUAAAGAGUGCGUAGGCGGUUGACCAAGUCUGUCGUGAAAUCUCCUGGCUUAACUGGGAGGGUGCGGUGGAAACUGGUUGGCUUGAGAGUGGGAGAGGUAAGCGGAAUUCCUGGUGUAGCGGUGAAAUGCGUAGAUAUCAGGAGGAACACCGGUGGUGUAGACGG
rnacentral:rRNA from 1 species